rnacentral:rRNA from 1 species
UCCUGGCUCAGAACGAACGCUGGCGGCGUGGAUAAGACAUGCAAGUCGAACGGGAACACGUUUGUAGCAAUACAAAUUUGUUUCAGUGGCGAACGGGUGCGUAACACGUGAGCAAUCUGCCGGGAAAUGGGGGAUAGCUCGCCGAAAGGCGAAUUAAUACCGCAUGUGGCUAGAGGUGACAUCAUCUCAAAGCUAAAGUAGCAAUACGUUUCCUGAUGAGCUCGCGGCCUAUCAGCUAGUUGGUAAGGUAACGGCUUACCAAGGCUAAGACGGGUAGCUGGUCUGAGAGGACGACCAGCCACACUGGAACUGAGACACGGUCCAGACACCUACGGGUGGCAGCAGUCGAGAAUUUUUCACAAUGGGGGAAACCCUGAUGGAGCGACGCCGCGUGGAGGAUGAAGGCCCUUGGGUCGUAAACUCCUGUCAUGCGGGAACAAGAAAGUGAUAGUACCGCAAGAGGAAGAGACGGCUAACUCUGUGCCAGCAGCCGCGGUAAUACAGAGGUCUCAAGCGUUGUUCGGUUUCAUUGGGCGUAAAGGGUGCGUAGGUGGCGAUGUAAGUCUGGUGUGAAAUCUCGGGGCUCAACCUCGAAAUUGCACCGGAUACUGCGUUGCUAGAGGAUUGUGGGGGAGAGUGGAAUUCACGGUGUAGCAGUGAAAUGCGUAGAUAUCGUGAGGAAGACCAGUUGCGAAGGCGACUCUCUGGGCAACUCCUGACACUGAGGCACGAAGGCUAGGGGAGCAAACGGGAUUAGAUACCCCAGUAGUCCUAGCAGUAAACGGUGCACGUUUGGUGUGGGCAGGUUCAGACCCUGUCCGUGCCGGAGCUAACGCGUUAAACGUGCCGCCUGGGAAGUACGGUCGCAAGAUUAAAACUCAAAGAAAUUGACGGGGGCCCGCGCAAGCGGUGGAGCAUGUGGUUUAUUUCGAAGCAACGCGAAGAACCUUACCAGGUCUUGACAUCCUUUGACCAUCCUAGAGAUAGGACUUUCCCUUCGGGGACAAAGUGACAGGUGGUGCAUGGUUGUCGUCAGCUCGUGUCGUGAGAUGUUGGGUUAAGUCCCGCAACGAGCGCAACCCUUAUUGUUAGUUGCCACCAUUUAGUUGGGCACUCUAGCGAGACUGCCGGUGACAAACCGGAGGAAGGUCGGGAUGACGUCAAGUCAUCAUGCCCCUUAUGACCUGGGCUACACACGUGCUACAAUGGGAAGUACAACGAGUCGCGAAGUCGCGAGGCUAAGCAAAUCUCUUAAAGCUUCUCUCAGUUCGGAUUGUAGGCUGCAACUCGCCUACAUGAAGCCGGAAUCGCUAGUAAUCGCGGAUCAGCACGCCGCGGUGAAUACGUUCCCGGGCCUUGUACACACCGCCCGUCACACCACGAGAGUUUGUAACACCCGAAGCCGGUGGGCUAACCUUUAAGGAGGCAGCCGUCUAAGGUGGGAUAGAUGAUUGGGGUGAAGUCGUAACAAGGUAGCC